CAGGGCGAAGCCAUCUCAUUGUUUUGGAGAAAUUCUCUGGCCCCUUGCCUUCCCAGUGGAGAGGGCAGCACAGCCCCCAGCAGGGCCAGGAAUAAACCAUGUCCUUGUAGAAAAAACAAUCCUCUUCCAGGCAGUGGGAAUGUGUGAUCCCUGCUCAUGUCCUGGAGCCCCUGCACCCCAACAGCCCCUUGACCCCAAGAUCCAGCAGGAGCAAUGGCUCAAUGACAUUGUCCAGGGUCCCCAGAGCAGAAACACAUCAGCAGAAACCAUUUUUAGGGCAUUUCAGGGUUAAUAAGGUUUUCUCCAUUGCCAGGAUUACAGGGUUUGAGCACUCUCCACAAUUUAUUUUAACUAAAUAAUAUGGCUAAAGGGAGCACCAAAGGAAUCUUAGUGGAAGAGAAAGGGGGAGAUGCUGAAGUUGGGUCAUUCCAAAGACUGUGGGUCUGUGAGGUCCACUGAGUCACUGGAGAAAGGAACGUGGCACGGAUGGAUGCUGUGCACAGCAGUGAAUCGCAGGUCAGCUCCCUCAAAUUCGUCCGAUGGGGACUAAGGCUGAAAAUAUUCCUAAACUCAUUUUCUUUUUCCUCUGGAGGGAGAUAAGAGUAAACAUGAAUCAUUCUUCUAAAAGUUUGAGAAGCAUUUUGUUCCAAGAAGACUAUGUAAUUUUUUUUCUUCUUCUUCUUCUUCUUACAGUAACAAGUUCACAGAAAACUUCAGGAGGCUUUUACAAAGGCUUGUAAGCACUUUGAAGCUGGAGACUGUUUUUAUAUACAUACAGCACUUGCGUAACAAAGUCUCGACAGUGAAUGGGAUUCCAGGGUGCAGUUGCAAUAAAGUGAUUAAUAGUAUCAUUCAUGGUAUCAUACCUCAUUCAUAGGUUUCCUGUAAGUUAAGAGGAAUACAUUGGCAGGAAGACAGUGGUUGUGACUUUAAACACGAUACUCUUGGGGGGGAAAAGUUACAGCUAACACAUGCACUGACAGGCAGUGUAGAAAAGCUAUGCAAAAGGCUCAAGAAAAUUGUAUUUAGAGCAAAAAGGGUGGAAAAACAAGCCCACAAAGAUGUAGUUGUGAGCUGGUUCUGUGGCACACAAAAAGCAAGGUGGAUACUGCCACACAGAACAGAAAAUAAGAUGUGUCUGUCAAAGGGACGGGUCAGGGGUGAUCACUGUUUAUUCAGGAAAACACAAGUAGGGUUUGGGUUUGUUGCUUCUUAAUCUGCUCACUGUGAGGACUGAUUUUGUCACCAAAAUGUUUGCCACCAAAAUGUUUGUCACUUGCUUGUGGCAGAAAUCACUGAGAAGGCCAGGCAAUAUGUGAAAGGGAAUGCAAAACAGUUGUCAAAGGAGAAAUAAAUGUCCUGGCUGUGGGCUACAGCAGCUAAAGAUGCAUCUGGAACCUCAAGAGGAGUGACAAAUAAUGGGUCAAUAUUUCCUAUAAAGCUGCUUAUUUCAUUUGAAAGCAAAUAAUAGGUCAAAAUUCCUGCUUAUUUCAUCUGGGGAUUAAGUUGUUAAACAGCUACCAUGUGGCUGAAGUACGGAGAAAUGUGUGGGGUGAUAAAAUAUGACCUAGUGUUUCACUGUAGCAGCAUCCCCAUGAUUAGCUAAAACGAGACAUUUAGGUCGGUCCAAGAAAACAUCAGCCCUGGGGAGCAGGCAGGGUGAGGAACACGGGAUCGCUUGGGCUGCGUCCCUACCCGGGCUCCAAACACUCCCUGGCCAGGGCUAUUUUUAAUCGCAGCGCUAUGAAAAGCUGCAUUUCACAGCACCUGAAUUGCAGGCAGGGACUCGGGAGCACGUUUAUCACACGGCUGUCAUCGCUUUUGAGGAAACAAGUGCAGGGCGUUUGGGAUGUUGUCCUAAAGCCACCCGGUGAGACGGGCACAGCUCCUGCACCGGGGCAAACCCAGCCACCCCCGAGAGCUGCACCCCAGGGAUUUCUUCCCCUUGGAGUUUCAUUUAUUAAAUUUCCUCCCAUCUUGUUUCACAGGGAGGUGUUUACCAGCUCGAAAAGUUUAAAGUGUUUUCUCUACUUACAACACAAAAGCCCAGGAGUGAGUGUUGUCACUGGAGAUAAUGUUACAGCUUUGGCAAGAUGACACAUAAAAACUUCAUCAGCCUUCCAAGAAUUUCGGAAAUAGUGGUGAAUAAAGGCAGUGAGCGCUAAGAGCAGGCAGUGCUCACAAGAAGAGCCCUUCCCAGCAGCGCUUUCAAGAGCUGUUUUCUGUUUUCACUAUCAUUAGAGCUGAACAGCUCAGACUGCUUUUAAAUAAUUAUACUUAACAGUUAAAAAACUCUCCUGUCCUAAAAUAAAUUUUAGCUAAGAUGGUUUGUGCUCUGCAGCCUCAUAUGACACUCAAUCUUUCUCGUGUGACUCUUGUAACAAGUCAAAUUCAUGUAUUUUGAUACCGCGCACGUGAUUAUGAUACUUGGAUCACUUAAGCCUGCACAAAACUGCAGUGCUCGCAUGUCAUUUAUCUUAAAAUCCUAUUGUAGCUCUCGUGAAGUGUAAUUUCUUCAGUGAAUGGAAAUUUAUACUGACAGAGGUGUUAUAAAACAUGGAAAAUACUGGGAGGAGAGGGCCCAACAUUUUCAUUAUCUUUUUGAGUGUUCACUAACAGGAUUUAUUUUUCAGCUCAGCUUUGGUUCAUUGCAGGUUACAGAGCUCUGGGGCAAUUAAAGGGACCUGUUUCCAGACUUCUUAAGCAAAACUCACAUUACUUGCAACAGGUGGGAGCUGUGUGCUGUGGCCUGGAGGCAGCAAACUGGUUCACAGGCUUCACUUUCCACACUGGUCCCUAAAGCUGCUUGCUGAAAAUCACCCAGCCUAAAGAAACUCCUGGGAUCCCAGCCUCUGCCUCCCUGUUUCAAAAUGCAUGGGAAAACUUGUCUGGCUUUUUGGGUGGGGAACUUAAUUUCAUGAAGGCUCUAGAGGACGGUUGAUGCUGGAUAGUAACCAUGCCAUUGGCGUGUUACCUGCCCCCAAAAAGGAGAAUCCAGGCUCUAAUCCAUACCCCCAACUCAUGCCAGCUUGCUGGGUACCAAAGCACACCCACACUCAAGUUGGAGACUCCUGUGCUCAGACAAGGAGGAUAAUGUACACCACAUGACUAAUUCUGCAAUAAUAGAAUAAAUAAAUUUAAUUGGUAAAGGACUGCCUUUUCUAUCCUUUUUUAACCCAGGUCUCAGUGCUAAAGGACUGACUGCCUGAUGUUUGAGGUUCCUUUCAGGUAUUUUCUUCAUUGAGAUGCACUGUAUUUAAAGCUCCUGUGGUUGCCAGCUUUGUCUUAUGCCCCCGAGCAGUACUGUGCCUUUUAGUGUUGAGAAACCAGCAUUCUAAUUCCUCUGGAACACCAGGCUGUGCUGCUUUCUCAGCUCACAGGGGGCCUUCUCUCAACCUCAGGUACAAAAACUAUGCCUGCUCCAAAGACAGUGACCAGAAGUCAGGAAAAGCACAGUUUAGAGAGAUAUAUACUUAUAUAUAUAUAUAUAUAUAAGCAAACUACAAUCCUAAAUUUAGACAUCUCCUGCUUUUCAGCUCUCCACAGAUUCCCUGUAAAAUACAAGUAACAGCAUUGAUGAGGUGUAGCUCAUAAAAAAGUAAAUAUUUCUAACUUCCAAGAGCAUGUGUUGCAGCCAGUUGAAGUCAAUGCAGGUUAAAUUCAGUGGAAGGUAUUUCUACCAGCUGAUGGUACGUGACCAUUCAAACAGUUUACCAAGUGCCACGGCAGCAAAAUUCCUCUGUUUAAGACUGGCUGGUUGCCUGGCAGGAAAAUGUGUUCCCAAAUUGGUGUAGUAACACAGGAAUCACUUCUUGGUGACAACCCUAUUGACUGACAGCCUCCAGUAAUGGCAGUCUAUUAAUCUCUUGCUCUGUGGCCAUAAAGCAUUCUGUCCUCCUUCCAUUAAAAGCUGAACGUAAAUAAAUGCAGCUCCCAUUUUACUUGCAUUCUUGCUGUCUACAGAGCCUCUGAGUGAGAGUGACAAGCAGAAGGGCUAAAGAAAAUGUCCCCAUCGUUGGCAUGAGGCCAGCCAAGAAGUGACACUGCAGAUGUGGGGCUCAGGAGCUGCUGAUGUGCUCUGGUUGUUCCACCUUGCUGUGCACAACAGCCCACGUUGCUGACACUGUCAGGGGGAAGGGCAAGGUGUGAAACCUGCUCUGAGCUUGGAGAGUGUCUGGGCCAGGUCAGGGCAGCCUGAAGUGCUGCGUGCCUUUGGGUGGCUGCCAGCAGAACCUCUGGGGUUUUGCAACACCUGAAAAAGAGCCUGGGAAUACAACAGCCCCUUGACCCUGCAGAGUCACCAUCCCCUGUAAAAGAGGACAGGAAUUAUUUACCCACAUUGUGUUCAGGUGUUGGUGUUUUACCUGGAAAUGCAAUGCAGGUCUUUUAAAGCACAUAUGGUGGCUACAGCAGCCUAGAGCCAAAGCCUGUCAUCUCUCCUGCUCCCUCACCUUCCUCUCUCCCCAGGCAUUUAGUUGGCAGAAGAACAUCUUUCAAAUUCCAGUAUUUUAUUUAAAAAGCUCAACUCGAGGUUUUUAAACUGGCUGCAAUUAAGAUUUAAACAACAGGAAAGUUCUUACAGAGGUGCCGUGUCCCUUUGAAAUGGCUUUGCUGAAGAAAAUCGUCCAUAUCCCUGCUGCAGCCAGCUGGACUGCACUGCAGGGUUAAUUUUCACUGUUACCUGUGGCCUUGUGCCUCCUGACACACUCAAGGCAUGUGUGGAAGGACCAAUAAAAUAUGUCCUGGAGUGUUUGGUGUAUUUUUAGAGUUUGUCCCAGAUUAUUGGCCUUUGUCCCAGAUUUCAGUGGUUAGGGUAUAAGAAUGCCCGGUGGGGCUGAGUGCUUCCUGCCUUGCUCUCAGGAAGGCUUUAAUCAGGAAAAAUACCCUCUCAGAGAAGGCAAAUAAUUAAGUUUUUGUGGCAAAUCCUCUAUUGCCAUUAGCAGGAGAUGAUAAACACUCAAGACCACAGUAUCAAUAGAGCAAGGCAGAUGCACUAGGAUUGAAAGUGCAACUUUAUUGUGUUGCUUUGUAUUGAGUAAUGAAUUGGACACUAUAACAAGGUAGUUUUCCUUUUUUUCUUUAUUGGGUGCAGAGCUGGUUUUUACACCAUAAAGUGCCUGUCUUGUGGGGAAAUGCUGGUGUAACUCUCCUGGACAAAGCUCAUCCCACAUCCUGCCAGUGUACAAGCAGGGAGCUAAAGUUGUGAAGAGAUCUUCACACACCAUCCCAUCCAUCCUCCUGCCUUUGGCAGUGGUUAAUUGACCCAUGGCAUUCCUGGUAAAUGCUCAUCCAACCUCUUGCUGCAGUGCUCCAGUCUCCCAGAGUAUUAAGAGUUUCACCUGCAGAACUUUUUUCCUCCUGUGUAACCUCAGCCUUUCCUGAUGUAAUUUGGUCCUUACUGAGCUCAUGGGAAACAAUUCCCCCUUUUCUGUCUUCUUCAGCUUUUUCACAUGAGAAGAUUGUCUCUCUUCACCCUGCCAAAGCCAAGCAAUCCAAUUCUUUUGUCCUUUCCUUGUUUUUCUGGUGGUGCAGCAUGACCCUCACUCCAUCCCUCGGCUCCUUACCCAUAUCCCAGGGGCUAAAUUUCCUUGCUGAAAUCCUGGACUUCCCAUCUCACAUCUCUGACAUCCACUCCUCAGCUCUGAGCUCUGAAUCCAUUCCUCUGGACUCAUCCCUCCCAGAUGGAUUUCAGGUCAUUGGGGUGCCAAAGAGCUUUCUGAUGUUUUUUUGUGCUUCCACCUUGGUCUUGCCUCUUUACCUGCCUAUACCAACUAUGUCUUGCCAAGCUGUCAUAGUGCACCUUCUGCAUAGGGCAUUCCAUGUGUCAUAACAAAGUAUAAAAACUAUUCUGUUAAGAUUCCAGUUACUGAUCCAGCACUUUUGUAGGGACCUGAGAGAGACACAUUGCCAGUAUAGAUGCAGAAAAGGUCCUGCUGCACCCAAUCAUGCCUCUGAGAACUUGCUCCCUUUCCCAGUGCUCCCCAGUAUUCAGCUCUUGGACAUUUUGGCACAUUAUCAGUGAUAAAUGUAUUCACAAGUGAGAGCAGACAGCCCUGCAGGUUGUGAUGCCAGGGUAUUAUGGGUUCUUGGCAUCAGCAGUGCCUCUCAGUGGAUUUCAGACAAAUGAAACAGAAAUAUUUUUAUAGACAGACCCAAGUUUUUAUCUAUUUGUAGGUGUCUUGGUACUCCUUAAAUAGGGAUUAGAUCCCUUGGAAGGAAGACUGCAUUUUAUGUCUUGACUUUCCUGGCCCUUUAUGCACCCAGGCCUCUCUUGCUCCCAAAGGCCACUGAUCUUGUCCUUUAUUUUUGCCACUAAUUUGUAUUGAGAAACAGGUACUGGCAGCUGGGAAAUUGUCAGCAAUACAGAAUGCAAACAAUCUGUUUUCUAUUCUUGUGGUCUAUCCAUGCUGUGGGAUGGUGCACAGACCCUUAAAUUGUUCACCUACAUUUGUUCAAAUGCUUGCAGGUGCAAAUGCUCCUAAUACCAGAUGAGGAAAGAAUUAAAAAAAAUAAAAAUGGAGGGAAAAAGAAGAUUUUUUAAAAAAACCAAGGAUAGCUUGAAGCAAGGAUGAGAAGAAUGAAGAACAUAUGGCAGAGGUACUGGUUGGGGUAUUCUGGUGUCCUGGUUCCAGCUCAGGAUUCUGCAGAAUUUCUGAUAGGCUUUGCUUUACUUAUCUCUUAAGUCCAGAUCAGAAUGGAAAAUACAGACUUUAUCCACAGAAGUAAUUAAAAUGUUGCACUCCCUGGCAGAGGAGUUAAAAUCAAUUUCUCAGAUGCAAGACGAAGAGGAAUUGGCCAGGCUUCUGCCAUGGGGAAAAAGAUGCAGGGCUGUGAUGCUUGGGAGUACAGCAGAAACCCAGUGCUGCAAAAAUCCAGCAGCUCUCCUGGGAUGCCUGUUCUGAGGGCCACAUUGCAGAAGGCAUGGGACAACCUCUCCGUUUCUCUUGGCAAUGGUCUUGGCUCAAGGACAUUUUCCACACCUCAGGAAAUAUUUGGCUUAGCUGGGAAAAGCCCAGAGAGGUGCAUAAAGAGUGGCUGGAGGUGUAGAACACUUGCCAUUGAGAUAAAGCUGAGAGAGAGGAGUGUGUGGCCUGAGGAGGGGACUGAGCUGAGACAAAACAAAUUGCCAAAUACGUGCAAGGCCUGCUGCAAAGAGGAAUGGCACAAUGUGUCCUUGUACCUUCUGCAAGUAGGGUGAGUAAUGGGCUUCAGCUGCAGCAGGAAAAACAUAGGUAAAAGACCAGGAAAAACAUAGGUAAAAGACCAGGAAAAACUUUCCAGUGUUUCAGAUAGUUCAGCUCAGGGAUAUUCCCAGAGGCUCUUGUGGAUUUGGCACUGCAGGAAGUUGUUAGACAAAGCUCUUGCAGGGAUGGUUGAGGUGUUGUUGAUUGUACUGGGAGCCUCUUAAAGGGAUUUAUCCAUCUGGUUUUUUCCUUUUUCUUCCAGUAGCCACUGAAGUAAUUGGAAUUCAGUUCUUCAGCGUUUGGGAAGUCCUGUCACAAUAGCAAUCCCCUGUUUGUAAUCAAGAGGAUUGCAAGAGCAAUCAAAUGCAUAUUGAGCUGAUGUGCAGCUCCCAGGAUUGUGGGGGCACAGAAUCAAGCUGAGAAGUACGUGUGCCAUAACUGUAAAAGUUGCUUAUUCUAAAGGAUUGAAAAUCCAGCUUUUCUUUCACAGGGAGAUGCUGCACAUGAGGAAUAUCACAGGUUAUAUUUAGUGUUACAGGGGCACUAGGGAAAUCUCAUUAGAGCCCAACAACAAUAAUCUGUUAUAAAGGGAAUAGGAGCAAUUUGUAAGCCCUCAGAAAAAUAUUGUGUCUCUGUUCUGCCUUGUCCUCACUGUCUGCUGCUGCUGCUGUAGGACACAGCUUUCCUGAGAGGAGGGUCUGUGCCUGCCUGCUCAGUUAGCCCCGAUACAUCACAUUUUAUUUGCUGGGAGACUUGAACAAUGAGCAGCAAACACUUCUGCUCCUAUUUUAAACACAUGGAAACUGCAGAACAGAGAAAUAAAAUGACCUGCACAGAGUCACAGAGCAAUUUCAUGGCAGGGCUCAGACCAAAGUCCAGCUCUCUUGCUCCCAAACCCAUGUGCCAGCCUUUCUCUUUGUUGGCCCUUAAUUUUAAUCACCGUCCAAUAAAUUCUCUUGGCCCCUUCCAGCUGACUUCCGUGGGAAUAAUGCAAGGUAUCAAAAAAAGUCACCCAGAAUAUCAAUGCAAAAGAAGGCAGUAUUAGAUGCAAAGAAAGAACUGAUGGAAGGGGAAAAACAAAUUUUACAAAAAAGAAUAAAAAAGAAUCAGUUCUAGUGCCAGUUCCAUAAUAUCAUUCCCCUUUUAAUUUGUGCCUGAUCAAAAUUUAAAAAAAAUUAGAUUGCUAAUAUUAAUAAGUGAAAUGAAUCUUGAAUUUUAUAAUAGUGGAGGAAAUGAAAGGACCAAAGUAAUAUUGUGUUGUUAACUGAGAUUUUAAUAAUGAUUCUGUCCUCAGUUGGUGCAUUUAUUCCACAGAAAGUAAAUCAUUAAUGAAGAGGAGGGGAAAACAGUUUUGUGGUGAUGGAUUUUUGAAGGAAAAGUUUAAUUUUGCUUAACUUGUAGAAACUCUGAAAUAUGCUUGGAGCAGUAAACCUAAACUACCACCACCUCAAAAACAGUUUGUAGAAGUGGAAUUUAGCCAAGGGGCUGACAGUGCCUGGGAUAGGAUGGAGAGAUGUCCAAGGCUCCAUUCCAGGAGAGCUGAGGCGAAGGAGAAAGCCCAUCAAGGCUGAUGUCCCCACUACCCACCACGACCUUCAAGCACCUCCAAGCAGUCCCCAAAAAAGGCUCCCUGGAGCAGCAGCCCACAUCACACCAAGCCCCCUGCUUUGAUGUGUCAAGCACAGGGAGGUUCAUGGUCCCACAACGGUGGACAAGAAAAACAUCUCUGCAGCUGAGAUUUCAUGCCUGAGAAAAAGCAAAUACAGCACACACAUCCCUGUGUGUGUGUGUGUGUGUGUGUGUGAAGGAGAUGGGGGAAAUGCAGAAUUCCCCUGAUUCCUUAAUGAGCACAACACCCCGACAAUGAAUGUAGAAAUUUGCAAGUUAAACCACAUUUCUGUAUUUAAAUUAUCAAAUCAAUAAAGAGAUGUAAGCAUUAAACAACAUUAUAUGAGAGCCUGGAGUGUCACCACAAAAAAUUAAGACUAUGUAAUUAAAAGUACAAUGCAAUUUAUUUUUAUAUCGUUCUUCAUUCAAAUCAACAAAUCUUAUUACUUACCCAAAAAUGUAAAGCAGGCUGCAAACUAAUUCAAAAGAUGAAGACAAAGUGGUUAUUGAAAAACCUAUGUUUCUUGUUCCCUUACAUCUGGCAACAGUCAUGAUUUAAUAUUUUAACUACUGUAAUAGGUUAUACUGCUGAAGAAAAGUGCAUUAAUUACUAUGGGAAACCUAAAGAAAUCUAAUUAAGAACAAUAAAAUCACUCUUAUUGACUGGGAAAAAUAAAACUAUGUAAAGGGAAAUGAGGGAUGAAAAAACUGACAACACACAAAUACUAAUAAAUGUCUGCACCAGUAGGAAA